rnacentral:rRNA from 1 species
AAUAUUGCGCAAUGGAGGGAACUCUGACGCAGCGACGCCGCGUGAGCGAUGAAGGUCUUCGGAUCGUAAAGCUCUUUCCUUGGGGAAGAAGGUCUUCGGACUUGACGGUACCUAAGGAGUCAGCCCCGGCUAACUACGUGCCAGCAGCCGCGGUAAUACGGAGGGCGCAAGCGUUAUCCGGAAUUAUUGGGCGUAAAGAUCUCGUAGUCGGUUUGUCACGUUUGCUGUGAAAUCCCGAGGCUCAACCUCGGACCUGCAGUGGGUACGGGCAGACUAGAGUGCGGUAGGGAAGACUGGAAUUCCUGGUGUAGCGGUGAGAUGCGCAGAUAUCAGGAGGAACACCAAUGGCGAAGGCAGGUCUCUGGGCCGCUACUGACGCUGAGGAGCGAAAGCGUGGGGAGCAAACAG